rnacentral:rRNA from 1 species
AUUGAACGCUGGCGGUAGGCCUAACACAUGCAAGUCGAACGGCAGCACGGUAAGAUGUUGCUGUUACCGAGUGCCGGUCGGGGGCGGAUUACGUAGGAAUCGGAAUCUACGUUUUGGAUGGGGCUGAGGUAGGGAGACUAAUACUACUACCGCAUACCGCCUACAGGUGGAAGACGGGGGUCUUCCGCGCUUUCGCGUUUGCAGGUGCCGGUGUCGGAUUAGGUAGUUGGCGGGGUAAAGGCCCACCAAGGCGACGAUCCGUAGCUGGUCUGAGAGGAUGACCAGCCACACUGGAACUGAGACACGGUCCAGACUCCUACGGGAGGCAGCAGUGGGGAAUAUUGGACAAUGGGCGCAAGCCUGAUCCAGCCAUACCGCGUGGGUGAAGAAGGCCUUCGGGUUGUAAAGCCCUUUUGUUGGGAAAGAAAAGCAGCAGGUUAAUACCCCGCUGUUCUGACGGUACCCAAAGAAUAAGCACCGGCUAACUUCGUG